rnacentral:lncRNA from 1 species
CAAGAUACGUACACAUACACCUAACAGACAUAUGGGUCUUCUUUCUUCAACAGAGGCGACCUUCUGCCACCUAAAAACAACUGCUAAUUGCCAGAGAAAACGCCAUAAAACUCCAUUUUCUUCACCUUAGAUUCUCUGUUUUUUCCAUAGAAACCAGUAGCUUCAAACCUCCAUAAACAUAGCUGAAAAACUGCCCUCAAAUCUCUCCAAAACACUAAAAAAACUUCACGAGAUUCAGUGGAAAACUGAUGCCAAACAGCCUUGAAACUAGCCUUUAAACACCCAUUCACUCCGGCGAACAUCAGCCGAGUAGUCGAAUUCCGUCAAAUAUCAAACGAGUCGAAUGGCGAGGUUUCCGGUCCGAAUGCCGUCAAUGGCGAGGUCGUUCGAAUUCCAUCCAUUAGCUUCAUAUAUGUUUCUCUGUUUCUGCAUUGAGUUUUGAGAUUUACAACUGUACCAGUUAGUUUAUUUGGGAUUUCUUCCCAAUAUAUUGGAAAAGUUUCAUUGCUCAAGGUCCAGUUCUUUCUUUCGUCUACUACUCUAUUUCAUAUCUCUAUGAUUCAUAUAUUUUAGAUCCCCGUUACUUAUGCUUUACUUCUUCACUUCUCAUUUAUGUUUAC